GAUGAACGCUAGCUACAGGCUUAACACAUGCAAGUCGAGGGGCAGCACAGUGUAGCAAUACAUGGGUGGCGACCGGCGCACGGGUGCGUAACGCGUAUCCAACCUUCCCGUUACUCAGGGAUAGCCUUCCGAAAGGGAGAUUAAUACCUGAUGGUGUUCAAAUUCCGCAUGUUAUUUGAACUAAAGAUUUCUCGGCAACGGAUGGGGAUGCGUGACAUUAGGUAGAUGGCGGGGUAACGGCCCACCAUGCCUACGAUGUCUAGGGGUUCUGAGAGGAAGGUCCCCCACACUGGAACCGAGACACGGUCCAGACUCCUACGGGAGGCAGCAGUGAGGAAUAUUGGUCAAUGGCCGGAAGGCUGAACCAGCCAAGUAGCGUGAAGGAUGAAGGUUUUAUGGAUUGUAAACUUCUUUUAUACGGGAAUAAAACCUCCCACGUGUGGGAGCUUGUAUGUACCGUAUGAAUAAGCAUCGGCUAACCCCGUGCCAGCCGCCGCCGUAACAC
rnacentral:rRNA from 1 species